CCCUGAGCCUGGUUCUGCUGGAGGUUUCUUCCUCAUAGACAGUUUUUCCUUACCACUGUCGCCUGUGUGCUUGUGCCAGGUGUUGGUAAGGUUAGACCUUUUUUGUGUAAAUCGCCUUGAGGAAAUUUUGUUGUGAUUUGGUGCUAUAAAAAUGAAA